rnacentral:piRNA from 1 species
UUCCUGCUCAGGAUCGUUCAUCUCUAACGUC